CCAGACUCCUACGGGAGGCAGCAGUGAGGAAUAUUGGUCAAUGGACGCAAGUCUGAACCAGCCAUGCCGCGUGCAGGAUGACGGCUCUAUGAGUUGUAAACUGCUUUUGUACGAGGGUAAACCCCGAUACGUGUAUCGGGUUGAAAGUAUCGUACGAAUAAGGAUCGGCUAACUCCGUGCCAGCAGCCGCGGUAAUACGGAGGAUCCGAGCGUUAUCCGGAUUUAUUGGGUUUAAAGGGUGCGUAGGCGGAGUGCCAAGGCAGCGGUAAAAUCGCGGGGCUCAACCUCGCGCCGCCGUUGAAACUGGCGUUCUUGAGUGGGCGAGAAGUAUGCGGAAUGCGUGGUGUAGCAGUGAAAUGCAUAGAUAUCACGCAGAACUCCGAUUGCGAAGGCAGCAUACCGGCGCCCAACUGACGCUGAAGCACGAAAGCGUGGGUAUCGAGCAGGAUUAGAUACCCUUGUACUU
rnacentral:rRNA from 1 species